rnacentral:rRNA from 1 species
GACGAACGCUGGCGGCGUGCUUAACACAUGCAAGUCGAGCGGUAAGGCUCCUUCGGGAGUACACGAGCGGCGAACGGGUGAGUAACACGUGAGCAAUCUGCCCAUCACUUCGGGAUAACUUCGGGAAACCGGAGCUAAUACCGGAUAUGACCACUUCAGGCAUCUGACGGUGGUGGAAAGUUCUGGCGGUGAUGGAUGAGCUCGCGGCCUAUCAGCUUGUUGGUGGGGUAAUGGCCUACCAAGGCUUCGACGGGUAGCCGGCCUGAGAGGGUGACCGGCCACACUGGGACUGAGACACGGCCCAGACUCCUACGGGAGGCAGCAGUGGGGAAUAUUGGACAAUGGGCGGAAGCCUGAUCCAGCAACGCCGCGUGAGGGAUGACGGCCUUCGGGUUGUAAACCUCUUUCAGCACCGACGAAGCGCAAGUGACGGUAGGUGCAGAAGAAGGACCGGCCAACUACGUGCCAGCAGCCGCCGUAAUAC